rnacentral:rRNA from 1 species
AAUCAACGCUGGCGGCGUGCCUCAGACAUGCAAGUCGAACGCGAAAAUCCCCUUCGGGGGAUGAGUAGAGUGGCGCACGGGUGAGUAACACGUAGGUAAUCUACCUUUGGAUGGGGAAUAACCACCGGAAACGGUGGCUAAUACCGCAUAAUGCAGCGGCACCUAAUGGUGACAGUUGUUAAAGCGGGGGAUCGAAAGACCUCGCGUCUGAAGAGGAGCCUGCGGCGGAUUAGCUAGUUGGUAAGGUAAUGGCUUACCAAGGCGACGAUCCGUAACCGGCCUGAGAGGGCGGUCGGUCACACUGACACUGACAUACGGGUCAGACUCCUACGGGAGGCAGCAGUCGGGAAUUUUGGGCAAUGGGCGAAAGCCUGACCCAGCAACGCCGCGUGAAGGAUAGAAAUCCCUCGGGAUGUAAACUUCGCAAGAACGGGAAG